AAUUACCAGCGGUUCCUGCCAGUUAGGCCCAACCUAAUCUGGAAUACCCAGAACAAAAUCUUGCAUGAACAUAACUCUCAUAACCUCUGUGCUCCCGACAGACGUAACAUGUUGGUUACAGAUCUUAGGACAGAUAUGCCCACCCAGAUCAGUCUUAUCUACACCUGCAAUUGGAGCACAUUACAAACCUAUGACAGCUAUAGGUAUGAUAGUGUAUAUGAAAAUGAUGCACCAUCACAGAAGGGUCAUAGGUGGGAGCUAUUGUUUCACCAUAAAAGGAGAGAGGGGAGACACAAAAUACAGUGUGUCACUCUCACACUCACUACUGUGGCAUUGCCUGAGUCAUUAUCUACAGCCAACAGCUCCUGUGUAUAUUUCUAAAAACAUUUUCGAGAGCAUGUGAAUAUAGUCGCCCCCGAAAGCAUUUCUCAUUUCCAUAUAUCCUGUUUCACAUCUCUCUCUGUAUUAUACAUAAUAACAGGUGGCAGGUUUAAAGAACUCUUAACCGUGAUCCAAUGAAUGUGCUGCUGGUGCCUUAUGUUUGUACUUUUGGUUGGAAUGACAAUGAACGACAUUUCUUGUCGUCUCUCUUGACCUACAGUUAACAGAUGCAGGAACAAGGAGAAACAGACAAACACUUGGAUUACCCAGAAGAAGCACCAGAUCUCAGUAAGCCUGAAGUUUGUGAAGGGGUUGAGCUGAGCAGUGAGUCCUCUGCCCUUGUAAAGUGUCAGCAGUGUUUGUUCUAUGUGGAUUCUAAACUCAAGGAGCUUGGUCGAUCAAAUGCCAGCCACAACCAUUGCUCCCUCCAAGUAAAGGGGUCAGAGCUGCCUGGGUGGAAGCCCAGAGGGCUGUGGUCAAAGGUCACCGUCCAGUGUCAUUAUGAAGAAGAGAAGAAGAAAAGGCAAUACCAUGACAUAAUUAUGUUUUUAUGUAGCUGCCUCACACUUUUCCUCCACUUUGCCACCAUAGUGCUUUUUUGGUUUUCUGUGCAUAAACAGUACAGUGGGCUGGCACACAACAUAUAAGCAUGUUAUAAAUGAGUAACCGUUGGAAUUGUGGUUUAUUGAAAGGAUUUGAUGAUUUGAUGUUUCCUUUCAAAUAGUCAUUUGUCCUCAUCCCUUUGUUACAAUAACAGGAAGGUGAAGAUGAUUUGUGCUAUGCCACCUUGUCCCAUGCUGGUGCUCCUCCAUCCUACUCAGUCAAGUUUGAACAAGGCCAUGACUAGGCCACAGUGGUCAUAUACUGACCAGCAUUGCCGAACUGAAUGGACAUGAAAGGACUUCCAAAUGGAUAGAUUGCUUGACUUAAACACCUACAUUUCAAUUUUCUUUCCAAGAAAUCAUUUGCAUAAAUCUAUUUGCAAUGUAGUUUUGAUUAUCCAAUUUGUCACAUUAAGAGAACAAUAAAGUUUUUGUAUUCCA